rnacentral:sRNA from 1 species
CUUGAGACUAGGAGGGCUGCAGUGUGCUAAACCAGUCAGAUGUCUGCACUAAGUUCAGAAUCAACAUGGUGACUUCCUGAGGGCAGGGGACAACCAGGUUACCUUGGUAGAGGUGAACAGGCCCAGGUUGGAAAGAAAGUAGGUCAAAACUUUCAUGCCGAUGAGUGGUGCAAUCGUGCCUGUGAACAGCCAUUGCACUCAGCUUGGGCAACAUAG